rnacentral:rRNA from 1 species
AUACGGAGGGUGCAAGCGUUAUACGGAUUUAUUGGGUUUAAAGGGUGCGCAGGCGGAUAAUUAAGUCAGUGGUGAAAUCCUCCCGCUCAACGGGAGAACUGCCAUUGAUACUGAUAAUCUGGAAUACGGUUGAAGUGGGCGGAAUGUAGCAUGUAGCGGUGAAAUGCAUAGAGAUGCUACAGAACACCGAUCGCGAAGGCAGCUCACUAAGCCGAUAUUGACGCUCAGGCACGAAAGCGUGGGUAGCGAACAGGAUUAGAAACCCCGGUAGUCC